rnacentral:rRNA from 1 species
UAAUACAGAGGGCGCGAGCGUUGUCCGGAAUCACUGGGCGUAAAGGGCGCGUAGGUGGCCACUAUAAGGCCGCGGUGAAAGUUCGGGGCUCAACCCUGAAUCUGCCGCGGCGACUGUAGGGCUAGGGCACCGUAGAGGCAGAUGGAAUUCCGGGUGUAGCGGUGGAAUGCGUAGAGAUCCGGAAGAACACCGGUGGCGAAGGCGGUCUGCUGGGCGGUGAGCUCGCAAGAGCUCAAUAGCCGACACUGAGGCGCGACAGCGUGGGGAGCAAACAGGAUUAGAUACCCUGGUAGUCCACGCCGUAAACGAUGGGCACUAGGUGCUUUGGGGAGCGACCCUCAGGGUACCGGCGCUAACGCAUGAAGUGCCCCGCCUGGGGAGUACGGCCGCAAGGCUG